rnacentral:lncRNA from 1 species
CUUGGGUGCUUGGUGAAAUCUGGACCAUACACAAGCUAAGGUUUUAGAUUCCCCAAAAUACUGCUAAAGCUAGUAGUUUCCAAGAAUUGGUCAGAUAAGACCUAUUUACUGAUUCAAAAUCAUCCUAUCUUGCAGAAUUUCGAGAGUUGUGGAUGUUUACUUUAAUACCUUAUGGGCUUUAUCUGUAAUAUUCCAGUUUACUCGAAUUUUU